UAGGGAAUCUUCGGCAAUGGACGAAAGUCUGACCGAGCAACGCCGCGUGAGUGAAGAAGGUUUUCGGAUCGUAAAACUCUGUUGUUAGAGAAGAACAAGGAUGAGAGUAAAAUGUUCAUCCCUUGACGGUAUCUAACCAGAAAGCCACGGCUAACUACGUGCCAGCAGCCGCGGUAAUACGUAGGUGGCAAGCGUUGUCCGGAUUUAUUGGGCGUAAAGCGAGCGCAGGCGGUUUCUUAAGUCUGAUGUGAAAGCCCCCGGCUCAACCGGGGAGGGUCAUUGGAAACUGGGAGACUUGAGUGCAGAAGAGGAGAGUGGAAUUCCAUGUGUAGCGGUGAAAUGCGUAGAUAUAUGGAGGAACACCAGUGGCGAAGGCGGCUCUCUGGUCUGUAACUGACGCUGAGGCUCGAAAGCGUGGGGAGCGAACAGG
rnacentral:rRNA from 1 species